rnacentral:tRNA from 1 species
GGGGCUGUGGCUCAGGGGUAGAGCAGCUGCUUGGCACGCUGAAGGUUCCAGGUUCAAUUCCUGACCUUUCCA